CCUACGGGUGGCAGCAGUGGGGAAUAUUGCACAAUGGGCGAAAGCCUGAUGCAGCGACGCCGCGUGAGUGAUGCAGGUCUUCGGAUCGUAAACCUCUGUCAGCAGGGAGGAACGGGCAUUGGGCUAAUCACCCGCGAAUUGACGGUACCUGCAAAGGAAGCACCGGCUAACUCCGUGCCAGCAGCCGCGGUAAUACGGAGGGUGCAAGCGUUAAUCGGAAUUACUGGGCGUAAAGCGCACGUAGGCGGUCUGUCAAGUCAGAUGUGAAAUCCCCGCGCUCAACGUGGGAACUGCAUUUGAAACUGGCAGACUGGAGUGUGGGAGAGGAGAGUAGAAUUCCAGGUGUAGGAGUGAAAUCCGUAGAGAUCUGGAGGAACACCAGUGGCGAAGGCG
rnacentral:rRNA from 1 species